CCUACGGGAGGCAGCCGUGAGGAAUAUUGGUCAAUGGGCGCGAGCCUGAACCAGCCAAGUAGCGUGAAGGAUGACUGCCCUACGGGUUGUAAACUUCUUUUAUAAAGGCAUAAAGUGAGGCACGUGUGCCUUUUUGUAUGUACUUUAUGAUUCAGGCUCGGCUAACUCCGUUCCAGCAGCCGCGGUAAUACGGAGGAUCCGAGCGUUAUCCGGAUUUAGUGGGUUUCAAGGGAACGUAGAUGGGUUGUUAGGUCAGUUUUGAACGUUUGCGGCUAAACCGUAAAAUUGCAAUUGAUACUGGCAGCCUUGAGUACAGUUGAGGUAGUCGGAAUUCGUGGUGUAGCGGUGAAAUGCUUAGAUAUCACGAAGAACUCCGAUUGCGAAGGCAGCUUACUAAACGGCCACUGACAUUGAUGCUCGAAAGUGUGGGUAUCAAACAGGAUUGGAUACCCAGUAGUC
rnacentral:rRNA from 1 species